GAUGAACGCUGGCGGCGUGCCUAAUACAUGCAAGUCGAGCGAAUGGAUUAAGAGCUUGCUCUUAUGGAGUUAGCGGCGGACGGGUGAGUAACACGUGGGUAACCUGCCCAUAAGACUGGGAUAACUCCGGGAAACCGGGGCUAAUACCGGAUAACAUUUUGAACCGCAUGGUUCGAAAUUGAAAGGCGGCUUCGGCUGUCACUUAUGGAUGGACCCGCGUCGCAUUAGCUAGUUGGUGGGGUAACGGCUCACCAAGGCAACGAUGCGUAGCCGACCUGAGAGGGUGAUCGGCCACACUGGGACUGAGACACGGCCCAGACUCCUACGGGAGGCAGCAGUAGGGAAUCUUCCGCAAUGGACGAAAGUCUGACGGAGCAACGCCGCGUGAGUGAUGGAGGCUUUCGGGUCGUAAAACUCUGUUGUUAGGGAAGAACAAGUGCUAGUUGAAUAAGCUGGCACCUUGACGGUACCUAACCAGAAAGCCACGGCUAACUACGUGCCAGCCGCCGCAGUAA
rnacentral:rRNA from 1 species